UAGAAAGAUAACCUCAACACAUGCCCUGGAUCAAACUAGGAACAUGACUGAAGAAUAAAAUUGCUCCUCCUGCAAAGAUGGAAGAAUGUUGAGCUCUGUGAGAGCUCCCCACAGCAUGAGGAAAUAAAGGGGUUGAAACCAGAGAGAAGCUGAGUGGAGACCAAGCAAGAAGGCAGGAAAGUAGGAGCCAGGAAGAGACAGGUGGCAAGCUCCCCACCAGCCCAGGAAUGGUCCAGAAAUGCUGUUCAGGAGCCAGGGCCUGGAGUUAGGAACCUUAGAAAUCUGCUCUAUUCUACUGUGGCUGAGUUGGCACCAAAGCUGCAAGACAAAGUCCUUCUCACUCUUCUCUCUCAUUUCCUCAACCUGAAGGAGUCUUUCUUCACAGCCACCACCACCUCAGGCCUAUGAAGAAGUCUCUCCUUGCGGCCACCACAGGUCAGACUAUGUUGGGUCUCCCCUGAAACCAGCACAG
rnacentral:lncRNA from 10 species